GAUGAAGAACGUAGCGAAAUGCGAUAAGUAAUGUGAAUUGCAGAAUUCAGUGAAUCAUCGAAUCUUUGAACGCACCUUGCGCCCUUUGGCUAUUCCGAAGGGCAUGCCUGUUUGAGUAUCAUGAACACCUCAACUCUUCAUGGUUUUCCAUGAAGGGCUUGGACUUUAGGGGUCUUGCUGGCCUUUAGUCAGCUCCUCUCAAACGAAUCAGCUUUCCAGUGUUUGGCAGCGUCACAGGUGUGAUAACUAUCUACGCUUGUGGGUUUCUGCCAGGUAAUCCUCAGUGAUGGGGAUUCGCUGGGGCUUAUAAAUGUCUCUCCUCAGCGAAGACAGCUUUGUGAACGUUUGAUCUCAAAUCAGGUAGGACUACCCGCUGAACUUAAGCAUAUCAAUAAGCGGAGGA
rnacentral:misc_RNA from 1 species